GACGAACGCUGGCGGCGUGCCUAAUACAUGCAAGUAGAACGCUGAAGAGAGGAGCUUGCUCUUCUUGGAUGAGUUGCGAACGGGUGAGUAACGCGUAGGUAACCUGCCUGGUAGCGGGGGAUAACUAUUGGAACCGAUAGCUAAUACCGCAUAAAAUGGAUUAUCGCAUGAUAAUCCAUUGAAAGGUGCAAAUGCAUCACUACCAGAUGGACCUGCGUUGUAUUAGCUAGUUGGUGGGGUAACGGCUCACCAAGGCGACGAUACAUAGCCGACCUGAGAGGGUGAUCGGCCACACUGGGACUGAGACACGGCCCAGACUCCUACGGGAGGCAGCAGUAGGGAAUCUUCGGCAAUGGACGGAAGUCUGACCGAGCAACGCCGCGUGAGUGAAGAAGGUUUUCGGAUCGUAAAGCUCUGUUGUAAGAGAAGAACGAGUGUGAGAGUGGAAAGUUCACACUGUGACGGUAUCUUACCAGAAAGGGACGGCUAACUACGUG
rnacentral:rRNA from 1 species